UGUAGAACCUUCACUGUCACAGGGCCU
rnacentral:piRNA from 1 species